GUGGGUGGAAGUAUGAGUAACCUAGGGUCUCACUGUUUAAAAAUUUCACACAGUAAGAUAAUGAAGGGUAUACAUGAAUGGAACAGAUAGUAAGGCAUGCCACUGAAGAGGAGGAGGGGGAAGAGGAGGAGGAGCAGUAGCAGCAGUAGCUAGGCUCUUGGGUUGUAGGGUAGAACCAGUUCCAAUCUCAGCUCUACGAAUCACUGUCUGGGUGUGCUUGGGCAAGAUAACCUCUUCUUACCUAUAAAUGCGGAUGAUGAUGAUGACAGUAGUACCUGUAUCAUAAGGUUGUUGUGAAGACUAAAUGAGACGAUACAUGUACCAAGUUUAGCAUGUCUGCUAUAUCUAGCUCAUCAAAUGUGAACCUGCAGCUGCUGAGGCUCUGCUAACAAUGACCGUGUCUGAACAAGGGUACGCUUUCCAAUUCGAUCGUGCCAGAGUCACUACAGGAUGUAGAAGAGGGUCACUGAAAUUCUCAAUGAGAAAGGGAGAACAAAGCAUGACCAGGCUCCAAGACUCUGAUGCUUGUUGCCUGGAGAAUGUAACUGAUGCUGCUGCAGGUCCUCAUGCUUCCUGGGUUGGCAUGAGCUAUGGAUAUGAGUGACUAGCAUCAUUCUUGGCACAGGUGCUCUUAUCUCCUGCUGCCUCUUCAAAGAGUAAUUUUCCCAGAUGUGUUUGUGAUCCGAGCUCAACAGAUCAUAUUGUACUUCAAAUAGGCUGCAACAGAAAACUUGGAUCAAAGUAAAACUAAAACUACAAUUUUGAAGGGAAGAGGUGGGAGAUUCCGCUCUGGAAGAAUCAGCUGACAGGAACCUAGGAGGGAGAGGAAGCUGACCCAAGGACCUAAUUCUAUUUAGUUACUAAUCUGCUGUAAGCAAUUACCUUUGAAGAUCCAAUUUUGCAAAAGAUCAAUGAGCACCUCUGAAUUUCUCUCCUGUAGUAGUUGUGUAAUAAUCUGAAGCUCAUAAGCCCAGGGACAUAUCUUAUUUUCCCCCAUAUUCCCA
rnacentral:lncRNA from 10 species